UAAUACGGAGGGGGUUAGCGUUGUUCGGAAUUACUGGGCGUAAAGCGCGCGUAGGCGGAUCAGAAAGUUGGGGGUGAAAUCCCAGGGCUCAACCCUGGAACUGCCUCCAAAACUACUGGUCUAGAGUUCGAGAGAGGUGAGUGGAAUUGUGAGUGUAGAGGUGAAAUUCGAAUAUAUUCACAGGAACACCAGUGGCUAAAGCGGCUCACUGGCUCGAUACUGACACUGAGGUGCGAAAGUGUGGGGAGCAAACAGGAUUAGAUACCCUGGUAGUCCACACCGAAAACGAUGAAUGCCAGUCGUCGGGCAGUAUACUGUUCGGUGACACACCUAACGGAUUAAGCAUUCCGCCUGCGGAGUACAGUCGCUAUAUUAA
rnacentral:rRNA from 1 species